GCGGCACUUGAGUAAAGCUUUAUAGAGCCACACGAACCGUCAUGCACAUAAAUAGACGUAACGUCGUCGUCAGCGUCACACGCAUUGUCGCACGCGCAAUUUUUUUACUUUUGUAUUUAUUUUUAAUUUUUCUUUUCUUUUUUUUUAGUUUUGUUAGGUCGCUUUUUGUAUCAACUACUUUCUAGGCAGUUUUGUCGGCCGUAUUUUAGUGCUUAUUUUUGCUUGAAUUUCUUCCGCCGUCCGAGCUCGGAAGAAGCGGUAGAACAGGGGGGGAAAAAAAAAAAAAAAACGUGAAACAAUAAAUAGGCGCGCGCACGUUACUCAGCUCGUCGCACAAUUUGUACUGAAGGAAAUUCCGAAAUAGACUGAAAAGCAGUGCACAACAUGGAAAUACAUACACACGAACACAAUUGCAAAUAAAAGCAACAAAAAACAAAAAACAAUACAGCAGAGCGAACAACGAAACGGUACGCAGCAGAAGACAGUCGCAGUGGUGACGACGACGACGACGACUAAAAGCAGCGCGCAAGUAAAAUGUUAAAAGGAAACAAUACAGCGGCAGAAAGCAAAACCAACUGAAAUACAAAAUUAAGAACUUUGUAAUGAACGGGUAAGAAAACAAGAACAAAGCUGUUACUAAACACAGCCAGACAAACAACAGCAAAUAAGCUGAGCUGUGCAGGCAGCAGCGACAACAGACAUGUCGAAAGAAGAACAAAAAUUACACGCUAACGAAAAAAUGCAAAAGGAAAAAAGAAAAUUUCACAAACAGCAGCAAAGAAAACCAUAAAAUCAACGACGGCAGCAGCAGCAGCAGCAAUUAUAACAAAAACAACAACAGAAAAAUCGAUGAAAGACACAAGUUAAACUUGAGGCUACCCCACAAAGUUGGCGUCAACGUAGCAGCAGCCGAGCCAGCCGACGCCGCGGGGGUGCAGGUAGCGACACCGCAGCGUUAUAUUAAAAGAAUCGGAGAAGUUCAAAGGAAUUUAUACCUUUUUCGCAAUGCAGAAUAAUGUUAUUUAUGGUCCUAUGAGGUUGGCAACGCUAUGAGCGAGCAACAUUUCCAGGCCGCAGCAUGUUGCGAAACAUUGAAAUGUUGCUAGCAAUAUUGAUUGUCAAAUGAGAAGAAACUUGAAAUUGAUAAGCAACGCUACAGGAGCAAUUUGGUUAAUUUGGGUAAGAGAAGUGUUUUUAAAUAAAUUAAUACGCAUAUGCACAUGUAUAUUGGCACGAAAAAUAUAAAGCAGAUAUAUAUAAGUAUUACGCAGAGGAUGCCAUAUCUUCGGAGUUUUCGAACCCAGGUACAUCACUCGCAAACGAACUCGCUCAAUUUUAAAUGGCAUGUGCAUACCAGAUGUGAAAAAAGUUUGCUGGCAUGUUGCACACAUAUUUCACGAAACGCGAUUUAAGAGGAAUUUAAUGAAGAAAUAUAUGGAACUAUGUAUUUAAAAAAUAUUAUUUGGCAAACAAGCAGCAAAAAUAAAGGAAUCUGUGUUUAAAAAAAAUAUGAUUUGGAAAACUCAAACCAAAAAUUUCUUCGACGGCCAUGUCCAUAAUUUUUUGCUGGUCCAUUAAUUAGGCUCUAUAAUAAGGCUGAUGAUAAGCAUCUACAAAGCAAAACUAUGAUUGCGGACGAGAAUUUACCGGUUAUUCGAAAGUUCCAACAAGACAAUGAUCCGGGGCACACUUCUCGUGUGGCAAAAAAGUUUUUCGAAGUUAAUUUGAUCACCGUUCUGGAUUGGGCAUCUUCGAGUGCCGACUUAAAUCCAAUAGAACAUCUUUGAAACGACGUAAAAAGUUCACUCAGUAGACAGAAUGUCACAAAUUUGGAUCAGAUCUUUGAAAUCAUAAGAAUCAUAUCUGUUGAACGUUGUAGAAGUUUAAUAAUGGCAAUGCAAAGGUGCCAUGCAGCAGUAAUAAAGCAACUCAAUGCGACUCGAAGGUUCUUAUGGUAAUAAAUGCAUAAGCUUGUUAAGAAUUGUAGAAGUAGACGAGACAAAAGGAAAUUCGUAAAGAAAUUGUGUAGCUUUAUUUUUGAAAUGGUUUUGAAGAAGCAGAAGAAAGAGCGACAUUGUCUGCUUUUAUGAAAUAAAAAUAACAUAACGCCACUCCAAUGUACCCAAGCAUUGUAUACAGACCUACUAUGAACUUUUCCAGCCACAUAUUCAUGUAAGUUUAUAUGCAUGCAACUAUACUAAAACCAUAAAAUUUAUCGAUUGUACACUGGCUGCAGCAAGAAAACAGUUACAAAAACAGAAAACCAUAGAAUACAAACAAGUAUUAAUAAUUUAAAAAGAAAAAUAACACAAACAGCGAUAAAACGACGCGUAUCGAAAACAAAAGCAGCUGCAACUGCAACGAAAAUGAUGCAAAAAACAACAUUGCAGCACUUAGUAAUAGAAGGAAGAGCAAGGAGACGAUUACCAGUCAGCACAAUCAAAUUACAACAAAAACUAUUACGCUGUUGCCACACUAUUAAUGGUCAUAUAUGUAAUUACAUGUGGUUGUUGCUGUUGCUGCUUGCUCCACACGAAAUGCAUACGAAUCUAAUUUAAAAUUUGCGUUAGUUGUUGCUACUUUUUUCCAUUUCGUGUUCAAUAAAAUGAAAACAAAAAAGGGGAGGAAAAAACGAACAAGUCCAGCUACUCCAACAGCUAAGCGUAAAAUAAAACUACGAAAAAAAGUGGAAAAAGUUUAAUUUAAAAAAGCAUAUUGCACACGUCGCGUGAGAAUGCAACAUUCUAAACGAGUCAGCUACAAUGACGCAUUACGAGCACAUAUCCGAAGGCAACCAGCAACAUGUCAAUGGCAAUGAAAAAUCACCUUAGUGCGGCACGGCAUGCUCGCUCGCUGCCAAAACAAAAAAAAAAAAAAACACAAAUACAAAAUAAGAAAUAAGAAAUAAAA